GGCUGGUUGCAGGUGGUGCUGGUGGGUCAUGGAGUCUUUUCCUUUUCUCCUCCAGACUGUCUUGGUCUUCUUAGAGUUUUAUUACAAAGCGCCAUAGACUAGAUGGCUUAAACAACAGAAAUUUAUUUUCUUAUAAUUCCAGAGUCUGUGAAGUCCAAGAUCAAGGUGCUGGUUGAUGCCCUUCCUGCUUCUACCUGCAUAUUCGACUGUUUCUGGCAACACUGAACACAUCCACUGCUGAAGGAAUAGCACACUGCAGCCAGCAUCUGGCCCUGGAUUCCACGGAGGGUCCUCCCGGUUCAUGAAGGCCCUCAUUAUCAGAUGGCUAAAUAAUUCGAAUGAUGGAGGCCUUGUCAUGCUGGCUAAUGAUGGCUUCAGGAAGAGACAACAAUUUGGCCAAUUCACAGAAGUCAAAAUGUUCUUUUCCCUGGUGGGGGAGAGCGGCAUCUUGGGAUUUCUCCUUUCUCAACACUUGUAAAUCAGAAAAAUAAAAUGUGGAUCCAUGGCCUUGA